GGUGGUUCUCGGGGGAUGCACCCCAAAAUCGGGCUCCCUCCUCUCUGGUUCUGAUGCGUUACCUGAGAACUGCA
rfam:Myotis brandtii contig312515, whole genome shotgun sequence.